rnacentral:sRNA from 2 species
AUAAUUCCUCGUUAGGUGAGGCUACUGUAUAGACAGAUGCCACUGCCCAGAAAUGUCGAGAGACACCAAUGGGUUAGCAGAUAUGGCCGGCUUAAGGCUUUAUCUAAUGUGGCUGGCGAACAGCCUAGCUAUACAGAGCUAAAACUCAAACGAGUGGGGAGUGAA